AAGUCGUAACAAGGUUUCCGUAGGUGAACCUGCGGAAGGAUCAUUACCAAUAUAGCGAACCGAGCGUUAGCGAGGCUUCGCGAUCAAUUUGUAUUUAAAACCCAACUCUUUAAAUGUAUAUUAUUAUUGUAUUUUAAAUAAUAAAGAUCACUUUCAACAACGGAUCUCUUGGCUCUC
rnacentral:misc_RNA from 1 species